rnacentral:lncRNA from 1 species
GUGUGAACAGGGCUUGUUUUCCCUUCACGCCCUCGGGCUCCGUUUUUAUGAAGCACUUCCUUCUGUUGGCGCUUUGGGAAUAUUCAUUCUUGGCUCGCACCGCGCACGGUUGACAGUUGGGCUGGGAAAUGUACCCGCGGCUUAAUUAGGGCAUCGCCAGACCUGCCAAGCUCCAGCUCCUCCCCUUCGCGAUUGCCGCGACCCCAGGGACCCCCGGGACCCCCAGGGCAUGCCCCACGCUGUGGGAGGGCGCCUCGCUGCUCCUGAGGCUGUACCAUCAGUGCUCCACCCGUGUGCCCCGCCUCAUAGAAACCUGUCCUGGCCAAGGCAUACCUAUGACCUGUCCUACAGGCAUCCUUACCUGGAAUCCAGGAGGAGAGGCUCACCUGUAGGUUUCGUCCUGUUUUUGAGGAAGCUGAAGGUAGCAUUAACAGGAAGGCUGGCUUUCCAAGCACUGCAGAGCUGAAAAUGGACAGCAUCCAUCUACACAGCCAAGGGCAAGAUCAGGGAAAACCUCGCACCCCAAAAGCCCAGAGGAACACCACGGAAGGAGGCUGGCUAGGUUGACUUUAAAUGUCAAGCCAGAAAAUAAAUAUUGAAAAUUCAACUGCAUGUGAUAUUAAAA